AUGUAUCAGAGCUGGUAAUGGAGAAAACUGUGGCUGCAAAGCCUCAAAGGCCAUCCACUCCCUCCCUCUCACAUUCAUCCAGUAAACAUUGCUGAGGUCCGGUCAUGUGGAGAUGCAGAGCCCAGUGCUGAGGAUAUAGAGAUGGGUUUGCUGUGGGGUACAGUGUGAUAGCUCAGACAGCAAAGCCCUGGCAGCUCAGCUCCCUCCAGUCCCUGCCUUUCUGUUCCCUGGGGACAAAUGGCCUCUGGACAACAUUAGCAAAUAGUCCUUUAAAUCC
rnacentral:lncRNA from 1 species